AACGAUACUAGCUUGCUAGUAGGCGUCGAGUGGCGGACGGGUGAGUAACGCGUAGGAAUCUGCCUGAUAGUGGGGGAUAGCCCGGAGAAAUUCGGAUUAAUACCGCAUAAUCUAUUCGUAGUAAAGUGGGGGACUUUCGAGCCUCACGCUAUCAGAUGAGCCUGCGUAAGAUUAGCUUGUUGGUAGGGUAAAAGCCUACCAAGGCGACGAUCUUUAGCUGGUCUGAGAGGAUGAUCAGCCACAUCGGGACUGAGACACGGCCCGAACUCCUACGGGAGGCAGCAGUGGGGAAUAUUGGACAAUGGGGGCAACCCUGAUCCAGCAAUACCGCGUGUGUGAAGAAGGCCUGAGGGUUGUAAAGCACUUUCAAUUGUAAGAAAAGUUAACGGUUAAUAACCGUUAGCCUUGACGUU
rnacentral:rRNA from 1 species